CCCGCAGGGGUGCCGGAUUUUAGGCUGAGAUAGCGCGGCAGCGCGCUGAACCCUUAUACCUGAUACGGAUAAUGCCGUCGUAGGAAGUAAUUU
rnacentral:ncRNA from 1 species